GUCCCUGUAGCUCAGUGGAUAGAGCGUUGGAUUGCGGAUCCAAAGGUCACAGGUUCAAAUCCUGUCAGGGACG
rnacentral:tRNA from 1 species